rnacentral:rRNA from 1 species
UGGGGAAUAUUGCACAAUGGGGGAAACCCUGAUGCAGCGACGCCGCGUGAGUGAAGAAGUAUUUCGGUAUGUAAAGCUCUAUCAGCAGGGAAGAAAAUGACGGUACCUGACUAAGAAGCCCCGGCUAACUACGUGCCAGCAGCCGCGGUAAUACGUAGGGGGCAAGCGUUAUCCGGAUUUACUGGGUGUAAAGGGAGCGUAGGUGGCAUGGUAAGCCAGAAGUGAAAACCCGGGGCUCAACCCCGCGGAUUGCUUUUGGAACUAUCAGGCUGGAGUGCUGGAGGGGUAAGCGGAAUUCCUAGU